rnacentral:rRNA from 1 species
UACAGAGGGUGCGAGCGUUAUUCGGAAUUACUGGGCGUAAAGCGCACGCAGGCGGCUUUGCAAGUCGGGUGUGAAAUCCCCGGGCUCAACCUGGGAACUGCAUCCGAGACUGCAUUGCUAGAGUAUGGGAGAGGGAAGCGGAAUUUCUGGUGUAGCAGUGAAAUGCGUAGAUAUCAGAAGGAACAUCAGUUGCGAAGGCGGCUUCCUGGACCAAUACUGACGAUCAGGUGCGAAAGCGUGGGGAGCAAACAGG